GGGGGCCCGCAAGCGGUGGAGCAUGUGGUUUAAUUCGAUGCAACGCGAAGAACCUUACCUACUCUUGACAUCCAGAGAAUAUAGCAGUAGAUGCCAUAGUGCCUUCGGGAACUCUGAGACAGGUGCUGCAUGGCUGUCGUCAGCUCGUGUUGUGAAAUGUUGGGUUAAGUCCCGCAACGAGCGCAACCCUUAUCCUUUUGUUGCCAGCGAUUAAGUCGGGAACUCAAAGGAGACUGCCAGUGAUAAACUGGAGGAAGGUGGGGAUGACGUCAAGUCAUCAUGGCCCCUUACGAGUAGGGCUACACACGUGCUACAAUGGCGCAUACAAAGAGAAGCAAACUUGCGAAAGCUAGCAGACCUCAUAAAGUGCGUCGUAGUCCGGAUUGGAGUAUGCAACUCGACUCCCAUGAAGUCGGAAUCGCUAGUAAUCGUGGAUCAGAGCGCCACGGUGAAUACGUUCCCGGGGCCUUGUACACACC
rnacentral:rRNA from 1 species